GAUGCGUACGACACCGGUCUCUCGACCCC
rnacentral:sRNA from 1 species